ACUUCAUCACCAUAUCUCCUCUUCAUAUCAGGAGCAUGGAUUGGCAAAACCCAGAGGGAAUCAAGUGUGCUAAGGAGACAACUCCAGUAAUAUCUAUGAACAAAUCUUCUCAACUAAACAUAGGAACAGACCGCCGGCUUCUGAAGAUUGCGGAUAAUGUUAUCCGAUCAAUGAAAUUACCAGUCCAUCUUCUCAAUAUCACCACUCUAUCUGAAUAUCGAAAA